rnacentral:rRNA from 1 species
CAGGGAAUCUUGCACAAUGGGCGAAAGCCUGAUGCAGCGACGCCGCGUGGGGGAUGAAGGCCUUAGGGUCGUAAACCCCUUUCAGCAGGGACGAAAAUGACGGUACCUGCAGAAGAAGCCCCGGCCAACUACGUGCCAGCAGCCGCGGUAAUACGUAGGGGGCGAGCGUUGUCCGGAUUUAUUGGGCGUAAAGAGCUCGUAGGCGGUUGCGUAAGUCGGAUGUGAAAACUCAGGGCUCAACCCUGAGACGCCAUCCGAUACUGCGCUGACUUGAAUCCAGUAGGGGAGUGUGGAAUUCCUGGUGUAGCGGUGAAAUGCGCAGAUAUCAGGAGGAACACCCAUGGCGAAGGCAGCACUCUGGGCUGGUAUUGACGCUGAGGAGCGAAAGCAUGGGUAGCGAACAGGAUUAGAUACCCAAGUAGUCCCUGAGCGGGCUGGCAAGGCGCAU